rnacentral:sRNA from 1 species
CCAUAGCCCCGAUAGAAGUGAAGUAAUCUUAUUUCAAUUGGAGUUCAGUGAACUUCGUUUGUAACGGAUAGCGGGAUUAGCU